GGGGCGCUACGACCACCACGACGGGACCUGCAGACUCAAGUACCUGAAUUGUCACCCCUUUCUGCGCCUCCAGUAGUGUACACUACAUAUCGCACACGGCACAACCUAAGCCCACGAGUUCUGAGGCCCCGGGCCAGCCAACCUAGAGCCCGAUGACGAAAGGCAAGUCUCAACAGGGUCGACAGAAACGCCUAUGCAUGCCUUGUUGUCAUUGGCAAACGGCAAGGCGGACGACAUGAUAUCUUCACCGAAAAAGGGGCCAUCAACCACCUCACGAAAAGGCGUUUUCAGCGAUAAAAGACCUGCCUCGAAUCGCUAGAGGUAGUCGAACAGCUCAGCAUCGGCAUCAACUGUAACUUCCAAUGGGUUUCAUUGCAUUGGAGCCCAGGAAUCAGCACGUGAAUAACGCCCUAUGUAACAGGACGGGACCACCUUUCACACUUCUCCCCGAGUCGUCGCUACAAUGCCAGGCACCAGCAAAUCGUCUGAAAUACAGAUUCAGACCGAGGCAAAAAUUCCAUGCGCCACGUUUCUAGCCGGGCUGGCAUGAUCAUGUUGUCCGGAUUUUGAGCAUGGAGAUGGAAAAGGCAUGAUUGUGGCUUGAGCUAUCAAAGCCUCUGGUGUUGCCCAUUGAUUGACUGGCUUGGAAUCCCACGGCGUGGCACAAAUAUUCCGAGCAGGUGGUUGGUCCAACGGCUUGGCUGCAAGGAUUCAUCACAGAGGAGGAUCGACGCUGAGCAAUCAAAAGAGAUCAAAUCGUUCGGCGCAAAACGCGGUCGUCGCAGAUACACCGAGCCAAGCCAUCUUUCCCUAUCAAGCCCUGUGUAACCAGAGCACCCCAGGUUCGCUCGAGGCAGGAAACGAACCCCUUGCUGACACCCUUCCUCAGCAGCGUCAUGGGUUCAGCAGCCUGUCGAACAGCCAACCGACAAGUGCCAACGGGGACCAAUCCCCCUUUUCGGAUUAGCAGCUUCAUGAGUUAGCCCCCUGCCUUACCGGACCGUUGCACAGGAGAUGGCUCGUUACACAAACGUUCGGUUAUCAAGCUCUCGAAGGCUUGGGAAGGUCGUGAUAUCCCCAGUCCUUGAACCCUAACCCUAGACUUGGAUAAAUUAACUUGCCCUACCCAUGUCUGCAACAUACCAAGUCGCUUCAGAGGCGCCAGCAAAUCUUAGUUGUUGAAAUCGAUGAGGAUAUCAGGCAGCUUGGAUUCGAGGCAGGAAAGGAUCUCGUAAGGCUCGAGAUUUCCUAAUGAAGCUGGCCGAAAUCACCAAACGGGUCCUCGUGGAACAGGCAAGGUGACGCGAAUCACUGAUGCGCCCAGUGGCGUCUGUUGUACACUUGGGAGGAACGCGGCCUCCCGAGCCAGAAAAGAUGAAAGAUGUUUGGUGUAGGUAUAACGAGACUUCAUGGGUCAUGUGUCUGUCAUUCAGGGCCGCUCGCUGUUCACGAAAUUCGUGCAUCCCGGCGGCAGAUGUCUUGCUUUAAUGUG